rnacentral:tRNA from 1 species
AUUUAUUUAGUAUAAAAGUACAAUUAACUUCCAAUUAAAAAGACUGUAAAAACAGAAUAAAUA